rnacentral:rRNA from 1 species
UUUCCUCACCCUCGAAAAACUACCCGCUGAACUUAAGCAUAUCAAUAAGCGGAGGAAAG